GUACUUUAAGCCCAUGUAACUGUUAUAAGGAAUCAAAGAUAAUACAUGCUGCUUAAGGAAAUAACUCUGUUCGUUUUCCUACAAGAAAUGAGUAGAUUUUGUUACUUGAGGUCACCACUAAGCUUUCAGAAACAAGUAACAGAAAUGCUCCAAGGUGCUUCUACAAUGGAGUGUUUCAGAGCUCAGACUCUGAGGUCAUAAAGGGCACGGGUUCAACUCCAGACAAACCACUUACUGGCCAUGAUUAAGUGGCUAACCCUUUUCUCUCCAAGUCUCUUUAUCCUCCAGUAAAAGAGGAGUGACAGAAUACACCUCCCAGGAACUGUUACAAGGAUUGGUGAGAUAACACAAAUUCAUUUCACUACCAGGUCAAAGACACAAUCAAAAGCCCGACAAAUGGAAUUUGUGGAAUUGGAACAAAAAGCUUUUCUUCCUAGGCACAAGAACAUCAAAGCAUAAAUCCUUCAGGUAUCAGCAAUGACAUCACUUAAGAAUUUCUCAGAAUCUUUGGCACCACCCCAGGCCUACCGGAUCAGAAUCUGAAUUUUUUAACAAGAUCUCAGAUCUAGUCAAGAGUCCAGUCUGAUUUCUCUUUAUUGGGACUACCACCCAAAGCAGAAUGAGGAUGAUGUAACCACGCCCAGUGACUUCUGGAUACCACUGACUCUAGAUCCUGAAUUCCAGCAGAAUGGCUGACACCAACUGGUCUGAAGACCCUCACCAAGGAACUGACUCAGUGCAGGAAUGCAGUUUCUUCAUCUCCCUAUCCCUGACUUCACCCCUCACUUCUCAACCAAUCAGUGAUCACCACACUUUAGGCCAUCACCUGUGUCCAGACCCCUUAAAAACCCCAUCUGCAAACCUCUUGAAGAGGCAUAUUUGAGGUUUCCUCUCAUCUCCUCAUUUGGUUUCCCUACAAUUAUUAAAUUCUUUCUCUGCUGCAACUCCUACUUUUUCAGUGUAUUGGUCUGUUACUGUGCAACAGGAAAUCAGACCUGGUGGUCCUAUAGUAAGAGUUCACAGAAUAUGAUAUACAAAGUGAUCUGUGAUAUACAAAAACCGGCACAAUCUCACUCUUAAUAAGAAAAAUUCAACUUAAAAUUAAAAGUUUUUUUUCCUCAGAAUGGCAAAGAUCAAAGUUUGAUAACAUGGUUGGAAAGUAUGCAGACCGAUAUUCUCAUAUUCAUUGAUGAAGUGUAAAUUGAUACAUCCUUUGUCAGUACGGACAGGUUUCCCAACUCUAGGGGUGAAAUUUAUACAGACUACAGUGUGAAUGACAACCACUUCAAAUUGGGUGAUAUGAUGACCUUGACUCUGUGGAGGGUCAUUUGGCAAAAUAUCUCAAAAUAAAAAUGUACAUACAAUUUGA
rnacentral:lncRNA from 1 species